UUAAGCGACUAAGCGUACACGGUGGAUGCCCUGGCAGUCAGAGGCGAUGAAGGACGUGCUAAUCUGCGAAAAGCGUCGGUAAGGUGAUAUGAACCGUUACAGCCGGCGAUGUCCGAAUGGGGAAACCCAGUGUGAUUCGUCACACUAUCGUUAACUGAAUACAUAGGUUAACGAGGCGAACCGGGGGAACUGAAACAUCUAAGUACCCCGAGGAAAAGAAAUCAACCGAGAUUCCCCCAGUAGCGGCGAGCGAACGGGGAGCAGCCCAGAGUCUGAAUCAGCUUGUGUGUUAGUGGAACGGUCUGGAAAGUCCGACGGUACAGGGUGAUAGUCCCGUACACCAAAAUGCACAGGCUGUGAACUCGAAGAGUAGGGCGGGACACGUGGUAUCCUGUCUGAAUAUGGGGGGACCAUCCUCCAAGGCUAAAUACUCCUGACUGACCGAUAGUGAACCAGUACCGUGAGGGAAAGGCGAAAAGAACCCCGGCGAGGGGAGUGAAAAAGAACCUGAAACCGUGUACGUACAAGCAGUGGGAGCACCUUCGGGUGUGACUGCGUACCUUUUGUAUAAUGGGUCAGCGACUUAUAUUCUGUAGCAAGGUUAACCGUAUAGGGGAGCCGCAGGGAAACCGAGUCUUAACUGGGCGUUAAGUUGCAGGGUAUAGACCCGAAACCCGGUGAUCUAGCCAUGGGCAGGUUGAAGGUUGGGUAACACUAACUGGAGGACCGAACCGACUAAUGUUGAAAAAUUAGCGGAUGACUUGUGGCUGGGGGUGAAAGGCCAAUCAAACCGGGAGAUAGCUGGUUCUCCCCGAAAGCUAUUUAGGUAGCGCCUCGUGAACUCAUCUUCGGGGGUAGAGCACUGUUUCGGCUAGGGGGUCAUCCCGACUUACCAACCCGAUGCAAACUACGAAUACCGAAGAAUGUUAUCACGGGAGACACACGGCGGGUGCUAACGUCCGUCGUGAAGAGGGAAACAACCCAGACCGCCAGCUAAGGUCCCAAAGUCAUGGUUAAGUGGGAAACGAUGUGGGAAGGCACAGACAGCCAGGAUGUUGGCUUAGAAGCAGCCAUCAUUUAAAGAAAGCGUAAUAGCUCACUGGUCGAGUCGGCCUGCGCGGAAGAUGUAACGGGGCUAAACCAUGCACCGAAGCUGCGGCAGCGACACUAUGUGUUGUUGGGUAGGGGAGCGUUCUGUAAGCCUGCGAAGGUGUGCUGUGAGGCAUGCUGGAGGUAUCAGAAGUGCGAAUGCUGACAUAAGUAACGAUAAAGCGGGUGAAAAGCCCGCUCGCCGGAAGACCAAGGGUUCCUGUCCAACGUUAAUCGGGGCAGGGUGAGUCGACCCCUAAGGCGAGGCCGAAAGGCGUAGUCGAUGGGAAACAGGUUAAUAUUCCUGUACUUGGUGUUACUGCGAAGGGGGGACGGAGAAGGCUAUGUUAGCCGGGCGACGGUUGUCCCGGUUUAAGCAUGUAGGCUGGUUAUCCAGGCAAAUCCGGAUAAUCAAGGCUGAGGUGUGAUGACGAGGCACUACGGUGCUGAAGUAACAAAUGCCCUGCUUCCAGGAAAAGCCUCUAAGCAUCAGGUAACAUCAAAUCGUACCCCAAACCGACACAGGUGGUCAGGUAGAGAAUACCAAGGCGCUUGAGAGAACUCGGGUGAAGGAACUAGGCAAAAUGGUGCCGUAACUUCGGGAGAAGGCACGCUGGUGUGUAGGUGAAGCCCCUGCGGGUGGAGCUGAGACCAGUCGAAGAUACCAGCUGGCUGCAACUGUUUAUUAAAAACACAGCACUGUGCAAACACGAAAGUGGACGUAUACGGUGUGACGCCUGCCCGGUGCCGGAAGGUUAAUUGAUGGGGUUAUCCGUAAGGAGAAGCUCUUGAUCGAAGCCCCGGUAAACGGCGGCCGUAACUAUAACGGUCCUAAGGUAGCGAAAUUCCUUGUCGGGUAAGUUCCGACCUGCACGAAUGGCGUAAUGAUGGCCAGGCUGUCUCCACCCGAGACUCAGUGAAAUUGAACUCGCUGUGAAGAUGCAGUGUACCCGCGGCAAGACGGAAAGACCCCGUGAACCUUUACUAUAGCUUGACACUGAACAUUGAGCCUUGAUGUGUAGGAUAGGUGGGAGGCUUUGAAGCGUGGACGCCAGUCUGCGUGGAGCCAACCUUGAAAUACCACCCUUUAAUGUUUGAUGUUCUAACGUUGGCCCCUUACCGGGGUUGCGGACAGUGUCUGGUGGGUAGUUUGACUGGGGCGGUCUCCUCCCAAAGCGUAACGGAGGAGCACGAAGGUUAGCUAAUCCUGGUCGGACAUCAGGAGGUUAGUGCAAUGGCAUAAGCUAGCUUGACUGCGAGCGUGACGGCGCGAGCAGGUGCGAAAGCAGGUCAUAGUGAUCCGGUGGUUCUGAAUGGAAGGGCCAUCGCUCAACGGAUAAAAGGUACUCCGGGGAUAACAGGCUGAUACCGCCCAAGAGUUCAUAUCGACGGCGGUGUUUGGCACCUCGAUGUCGGCUCAUCACAUCCUGGGGCUGAAGUAGGUCCCAAGGGUAUGGCUGUUCGCCAUUUAAAGUGGUACGCGAGCUGGGUUUAGAACGUCGUGAGACAGUUCGGUCCCUAUCUGCCGUGGGCGCUGGAGAAUUGAGGGGGGCUGCUCCUAGUACGAGAGGACCGGAGUGGACGCAUCACUGGUGUUCGGGUUGUCAUGCCAAUGGCACUGCCCGGUAGCUAAAUGCGGAAGAGAUAAGUGCUGAAAGCAUCUAAGCACGAAACUUGCCCCGAGAUGAGUUCUCCCUGAGACUUUAAGUCUCCUGAAGGAACGUUGAAGACGACGACGUUGAUAGGCCGGGUGUGUAAGCGCAGCGAUGCGUUGAGCUAACCGGUACUAAUGAACCGUGAGGCUUAACCUU
rnacentral:rRNA from 2 species